GUCCUAAGCACGUCCUAAGCGACACAAAAAAUUACAUUUCAUUUUAGUCAUUUUCUUUUAUUGUCAGGUGAUUUCUAUGGAGCCAUGAAACAAUAGCAAGAUGAAAGAAUAAUCAGAUAUUAUCAUACAGUCUUAGCUUCUGAUAGCUUCAGUGCCUGUUUUAAUUACAUAUGCAUUGACAUUGUAGUAUCAUCAUGAAGAAGGACAGGUCUGACGAGCCGGGAGUGGCCGAGGACGGAGACCGGCCCGGCCUGCCGGCUCUGCCAAUCGAGUGCGCCGUCCUGGCCACGGUGCUGCUUCACUUGGCGCUCUGCCCAUUCACCAAGGUGGAGGAGAGCUUCAACAUGCAGGCAGUGCACGACAUCCUCUACCACCGCUUUGACUUCAGACAGUACGACCACCUGGAGUUCCCCGGCGUGGUGCCGCGCACCUUCCUCGGACCGCUGGCUCUGGCCGUCCUCUCGGCCCCCGGAGCCGCCAUACUGUCGCCCUUUGCUGGAAAAUUCGCCGUACAACUGCUGGUUCGGUUUGUGCUCGGCGCCGUCUCGGUGGCGGCGUUCUACCGAUUCCGGCAGAGCGUAGAACAGGUGUUUGGCCGUCCGGUGGCCGUGUGGCUAGUCUGCAUCACCGUCACCCAGUUCCACUUCAUGUUCUACCUGAGCCGCGCCCUGCCCAACAUGAUGGCCAUGCCGCUCGUGCUGAUGGCGGUGAGCUGCUGGAUGCGUCAGGAGCACACCCCGUUCCUGUGGUGGUCGGGCGCCGCCGUUCUGCUGUUCAGGGCCGAGCUGACCAUGCUGCUCGGUAUCCUGCUGCUGAUGGAACUGGUCACCGGACGACUGCCGCUGCUCAGGUGUCUGAAGGUAUGUAUCCUGGCCGGCCUGGCGCUGCUGCUGCUCUCGUUCACGGUCGACUCGCUGUUCUGGCGGAGACCCGUCUGGCCGGAGGGCGAGGUGCUCUGGUUCAACGUGGUACUCAACAAGUCCGCAGAGUGGGGCACCCUCCCCGCUCUGUGGUACUGGUACUCUGCCCUGCCCCGAGCGCUGGGCGCCAGCCUGGCGCUCGUCCCGGUCGGGCUGGCGCUGGACCGCCGCGCCCGCCUCCUGGCCGGCCCGGCACUGGCGUUUGUCGCCCUCUACUCGCUGCUUCCUCACAAGGAGCUGCGGUUCAUUAUCUACGUGGUGCCGCUGCUGAACGUGGCGGCGGCGCGCGCCUGUCAUGCCAUCUGGGAGGGCCGGCUGAAGUCGGCGUGGCGCUCCUACCUGGCCACGGCCAUGUGCUGUCACCUGCUGGCCAAUGUGGCGCUGACGGCUCUGCUGGCGGCGGUGGCGCGCCACAACUAUCCCGGCGGCGCGGCGCUGGGCCGUCUGCAGCACCUGGAGCCGGACGCCGCCUACGUGCACAUUGACGUGUACAGCGCGCAGACCGGGGUGACGAGGUUCCUGCAGCACAGAGACGACUGGCGGUACAACAAGACUGAGAACCUGGCGCCGGGAUCUCCCGACAUGCACUCGUUCACCCACCUGCUGAUCGAGGCGCGCGGUAAGCGCUCCUCGGCACUGAAACCCUACGAGGAGACGCACAUGAUCCUCGACUCCGUGGACGUCUUCUCACACAUCCAGUUCAACUACGACCACUUCCCGCCACUGCGACUGCGCAUGCGCCCCGCCAUAUUUCUACUGUACAACAAUGUACCGGAGAAUGUGCGAUGGCCGAAGGACGAGGAAGAACCCCAGCCGCCACCGGAGGAAAGCGAAAAAGUUGUAGAACCCGAGACAGAUGAUGUUAAAGAUCCAGUUGCUCAAGAAGAUGCUUCUGAAGUAGAGGAACCCAAGGCAGCUAACGAUGAGAUAGUUUUUACUGGCGCGGAAGAGAGCGACAAGGACUAUUCGGAUGACAUGGUAGCUAGUGAAAAGGCCGCCGAGCUGUUUCUGCCGCCGGAUGACGGCACGGCUGAUGAGGCACGGUUGUCGGACCUGCCGGCACAGGUGAUUCGCUAGCAGGGCGGCCACUGCGGGCACACAGCUCCUCAGGGGCGGGUCACCCUGCGCGCUCACAGCUCCUCAGGGGGCGGGUCACUCUACCAUUGCAGACCGCCGGUGGACCGCGCCGGCCGGGCCGCGGCAGUGGACCAAAGGUCAGGCGGCCGGGAGGGGCGCCGCCGCUCCCCCGGGCCGCUGUAGGACAGUGCUGUGAUAGAGCUACUAACACUUGCCUCCGCGCCGACUCGUGAUAACUCCCGGGGGCGGGGCGGCCACCCAACGCUCCGGUCCGUUCUAGUCACCGCGCUCACGGGUCCUUCCAUAAUACACCCCGCCGCAGCAGACGCAACUGUUUGGGGGAGAGUGAACCGACUACAGAUGUGUGGAUCAGCAGGUGAUUACGGAUCAUGUUCUGGGACAUUUGUGGAGUUUGUGCAAUCGUGGUUGAUGGUGAUUCUUAUAUUUUAACCUCGAAUGAAGACCUCCAGUGUCAUGACACUUUGCCAAAGCAAUUUGAAUGGAGUCGAACCAUCCAUCCAUUGAAUAGCUCCGUGCCACCGAUUGAAGAACUCGGCGCUUUUUCUCCCCGCUUUAUUCCUAUCCCACAGGCCUAAUGAAACAAGGAAAUCGUUAUGUGACGCAAUAGGGUGAACAAUAGGGUGAAUGCCAUCGUUGUUGACACUGACAAGCUUUAUUAACUGAACCUAUUAGACUGUUGGAUAUGUGCCGCAUGGCUGAUGUUAUUGAACGAUCGCCAAUAUUCUGGUCUCGCCAUGCCUGCCUGUUGCCAGGUGUAUGAUAUCGUUUCCCCUCGAAACCUAUGGUGAUUUCUCAUAGCUCGGAAAAAUCAACAAUAAAAUUAGGGUACAAGAACAGCCUUCACAA
rnacentral:misc_RNA from 1 species